rnacentral:rRNA from 1 species
UACAGAGGUCUCAAGCGUUGUUCGGAUUCAUUGGGCGUAAAGGGUGCGUAGGCGGCGCGGUAAGUCGGGUGUGAAAUCUCGGAGCUUAACUCCGAAACUGCAUUCGAUACUGCCGUGCUUGAGGACUGGAGAGGAGACUGGAAUUUACGGUGUAGCGGUGAAAUGCGUAGAUAUCGGAAGGAACAUCAGUGGCGAAAGCGACUUCCUGGACCAGAACUGACGUUCAGGCACGAAAGCGUGGGGAGCAAACAGG